rnacentral:rRNA from 1 species
UACGUAGGGUGCGAGCGUUAAUCGGAAUUACUGGGCGUAAAGCGUGCGCAGGCGGUUCGUUAAGACAGAUGUGAAAUCCCCGGGCUUAACCUGGGAACUGCAUUUGUGACUGGCGGGCUAGAGUAUGGCAGAGGGGGGGUAGAAUUCCACGUGUAGCAGUGAAAUGCGUAGAGAUGUGGAGGAAUACCGAUGGCGAAGGCAGCCCCCUGGGCCAAUACUGACGCUCAUGCACGAAAGCGUGGGGAGCAAACAGG